rnacentral:tRNA from 1 species
GCCGGUGGGUGCGGCGGCGGGGGAGCCGGCCGCUUGGAGCGCGGUGGCGAUCUUGUCGACGAUCGGAUCGUCGACACCGGUU